CAGUCGCCGCGGGAAUACGUAGGUGGCAAGCGUUGUCCGGAAUUAUUGGGCGUAAAGGGCUCGCAGGCGGUUUCUUAAGUCUGAUGUGAAAGCCCCCGGCUCAACCGGGGAGGGUCAUUGGAAACUGGGAAACUUGAGUGCAGAAGAGGAGAGUGGAAUUCCACGUGUAGCGGUGAAAUGCGUAGAGAUGUGGAGGAACACCAGUGGCGAAGGCGACUCUCUGGUCUGUAACUGACGCUGAGGAGUGAAAGCGUGGGGAGCGAACAGGAUUAGAUACCCCCGUAGUCCCUGUCUCUUAUAC
rnacentral:rRNA from 1 species